AGUGAACGCUGGCGGUAGGCCUAACACAUGCAAGUCGAACGGCAGCACAGUAAGAGCUUGCUCUUACGGGUGGCGAGUGGCGGACGGGUGAGGAAUACAUCGGAAUCUACUUUUUCGUGGGGGAUAACGUAGGGAAACUUACGCUAAUACCGCAUACGACCUACGGGUGAAAGCAGGGGAUCUUCUGACCUUGCGCGGUUGAAUGAGCCGAUGUCGGAUUAGCUAGUUGGCGGGGUAAAGGCCCACCAAGGGGACGAUCCGUAGCUGGUCUGAGAGGCUGAUCAGCCACACUGGAACUGAGACACGGUCCAGACUCCUACGGGAGGCAGCAGUGGGGAAUAUUGGACAAUGGGCGCAAGCCUGAUCCAGCCAUACCGCGUGGGUGAAGAAGGCCUUCGGGUUGUAAAGCCGUUUUGUUGGGAAAGAAAAGCAGCAGGUUAAUACCCCGCUGUUCUGACGGUACCCAAAGAAUAAGCACCGGCUAACUUCGUG
rnacentral:rRNA from 1 species